rnacentral:rRNA from 1 species
GCAAGUCGAGCGGACAGAAGGGAGCUUGCUCCCGGAUGUUAGCGGCGGACGGGUGAGUAACACGUGGGUAACCUGCCUGUAAGACUGGGAUAACUCCGGGAAACCGGAGCUAAUACCGGAUAGUUCCUUGAACCGCAUGGUUCAAGGAUGAAAGACGGUUUCGGCUGUCACUUACAGAUGGACCCGCGGCGCAUUAGCUAGUUGGUGAGGUAACGGCUCACCAAGGCGACGAUGCGUAGCCGACCUGAGAGGGUGAUCGGCCACACUGGGACUGAGACACGGCCCAGACUCCUACGGGAGGCAGCAGUAGGGAAUCUUCCGCAAUGGACGAAAGUCUGACGGAGCAACGCCGCGUGAGUGAUGAAGGUUUUCGGAUCGUAAAGCUCUGUUGUUAGGGAAGAACAAGUGCAAGAGUAACUGCUUGCACCUUGACGGUACCUAACCAGAAAGCCACGGCUAACUACGUGCCAGCAGCCGCGGUAAUACGUAGGUGGCAAGCGUUGUCCGGAAUUAUUGGGCGUAAAGGGCUCGCAGGCGGUUUCUUAAGUCUGAUGUGAAAGCCCCCGGCUCAACCGGGGAGGGUCAUUGGAAACUGGGAAACUUGAGUGCAGAAGAGGAGAGUGGAAUUCCACGUGUAGCGGUGAAAUGCGUAGAGAUGUGGAGGAACACCAGUGGCGAAGGCGACUCUCUGGUCUGUAACUGACGCUGAGGAGCGAAAGCGUGGGGAGCGAACAGGAUUAGAUACCCUGGUAGUCCACGCCGUAAACGAUGAGUGCUAAGUGUUAGGGGGUUUCCGCCCCUUAGUGCUGCAGCUAACGCAUUAAGCACUCCGCCUGGGGAGUACGGUCGCAAGACUGAAACUCAAAGGAAUUGACGGGG